GGACAAAAGUUUUUAGAGAGAUGAAUUUUUUGUUUUAGAGAGAGAAACAACAAUCUUCAUCAUGUUCAUCUAUAACACCAAGAACACACAUACAAGUGUGUGAGAGAGAAGAAGUUUGAAGUAUGUUGUUUUAGAGAGAGAACGAUGACAAGAUGUAUGUUUUUAGAGAGAGAAAGUUGAUGUUUUAGAUAGAGAAACAACAAUCUUUAUCACAAAGACACACGCACGAGUGUGUGUGUGAGAAGAAGGUUUGAAGAUCUUCUUCGUGUUCAUCGGACGGUUCUAGAUCUGGUAAGUGUUCUUGAAUAAAUCAAAAAACUUUAGGAUGAGAUUUUGAAUGGGUUUUUUUUAGCUGAUUUUUUGUUGGUUUGGGUUGCUUGUUUGGGUUUUUGAUCUGAACAGUAAGUGUUUUUUUUGUUGGGUUGCUUGAUUCACAGACUCAGACCCAUAACAUGUGUUAAGCCUCCUGUUAGACUGUUAUAUAACGUGUGUUGGUUUACAGAAACAGAUCCAUAAAAGAUAUUCAAUUGACAAGCUGGAUGGAUGUAGGCGACGUUAAUGCGGGGACAUUGAAUAAGUCACAUCCUUUGGGAAAGAACUGUUCGUUCAUUUAUAACAUGUGUUAGUGGUUCAUGCUGUAACAGAACACCAUGAUGUAACCUGACAUGUGUUCAUGUAUAACAUGUGUUAAGCCCCAUGUUAGAAUGAUAUAUAACGUGUGUUAACCUUUUGUUAAUUAAAAAAAAAAACAAGUAAUAUCUAUUUUAUUUUUGUUGAUGUUUAAAAUAUCCGAUAAUGUGGAUACUGAGUGUAAAACUUGUACAAUUAAUAAAUGUACAAGUUAGUAUGUAACGUGUAAUAUGAAACGAGCCAUUUAUGGUAACACAUGUACCGGUAAUUUUGGAAUAUAUAAUAUGAAACAGGUCAUUUGUUUUGCACAUUUUGGAAUGUAUAACAUGUGUUAAGCUUCUGU
rnacentral:lncRNA from 1 species